ACAUCAUGCGGUGGAUAUGCGACAAUUAAACCUUUAUUUUCUAUUUAAAUAUUUAUAAACGUGAAUAUACGACUUGCUUUAACGAUACAAGCGUUAAUUCGUUACUGAUAGGAUCAUGCGGCAGCAAUGAAUAGGACACUCCUCGUUCUCUGGUUGCUUGAUGUGGCGACUGCAGAAGUGGCUCAGCAAAGCGUCUUCGUUGGAGCAAACAACCCUGCAUUCUGGACACCGAUUGUGCGCCUCCUUUAAAUAUAAAACUUUGUGAAACAUAAAAAUAUAUUUAACAUUUAUUUUUCAUCAUUUUAACCAAUAAAUACCUACUAAACAAGAACUUUGACAUUAACUUAGAUAAGAAAACAUAUAUAUUAUUUUCAAUUAAAUUGUUAAACAAGAGCUGUCUCCAUAGGAUGACGUAUGCCCCCAAUAAAUGCUUUGAUAGAAA